CUACGGGGGGCAGCAGUGAGGAAUAUUGCACAAUGGGGGGAACCCUGAUGCAGCAACGCCGCGUGGAGGAUGACGCACUUCGGUGUGUAAACUCCUUUUAUAUGUCAAGAAAAUGACGGUAGCAUAUGAAUAAGCACCGGCUAACUCCGUGCCAGCAGCCGCGGUAAUACGGGAGGGUGCAAGCGUUACUCGGAAUCACUGGGCGUAAAGGACGCGUAGGCGGGUUGGCAAGUCAGGUGUGAAAUCCUACAGCUUAACUGUAGAACUGCACUUGAAACUUCUAAUCUAGAGUAUGGGAGGGGGAGAUGGAAUUAGUGGUGUAGGGGUAAAAUCCGUAGAUAUCACUAGGAAUACCUAAAGCGAAGGCGAUCUCCUGGAACAUUACUGACGCUAAGGCGUGAAAGCGUGGGGAGCAAACAGGAUUAGAUACCCCAGUAGUC
rnacentral:rRNA from 1 species